rnacentral:lncRNA from 1 species
CACCACCCACCUCCUUAAUAGUAGCUUAACCCCUUCCUUUUGCUUGCUCUGGAAAUUUCCACUCCAACUUAGGGCAAACAGAGGAAAGAAAGAGGAUCAAAAAGAGAACUCUUUUGAGUUGACUUUUCCCUUUAGUAACUUUUCAAUAGGUAACACCAAACCAGUUUCGUGAUUGCAGACGUGGAGGUAGCAAAGGGACAAUGGUUAUAAAUGAAGAGAACAAGAGUGAGACCAGCUGGUGAUUGGCAUCUUUAAUUGCAUCUUCUGAAUUAAUCAC